CCUCUUUCCCUCGGUGUAGCUACAGCAACUAAACUGUCAGGAGAGCAUGAUCAUUCAAAGGAGGUCUCCUAUCUUCUCAUUUGCUGUCUCUUUGCAGUGUUCACUGUAAGUUUCACAUUUUCAGAGCUCCAAGUUUUCCCUUUCUCCACAGCACACAUUUUAAGUUGUGCAGCCUCUAAUCCCUUAUACAUUUUAUUUCCAGGGUCUAGGAUGCUUUGCUUAUUAUUCUGCUCACCAUGCACCUGCUUAUUUCAAGAGUCUGCUCAACAUGCUCUCACAGCGAUCUACCUUACAAUUUGCCAGGUGCUCCCUCUCAACGGGGCCUACAGAGUCUGCAAUUCCUUUCUUGGGAUAAUUCCUGACACUGCUUUGGAGAUGGAACCCAUAAAAACUGACCCUGGAGAUCCCCGCCCUGGGCCCGUAGAUUCCCACCCUCAGGGAUCUCUAGGUCAUCAUCAGUAUCUGCACGGCUUUAAGAGAUGCAAUGGUGGAAUGGUGGAGUUGGGAAAGUGAGUAGGCCAUUCCAUAAGUUGCCAGGGAGAAAAUUAUGAAAACCUCCCAUGGAGUUCAUAACAAGGAAAUCAUUU
rnacentral:lncRNA from 1 species